rnacentral:rRNA from 1 species
UACGUAGGUGGCAAGCGUUGUCCGGAAUUACUGGGCGUAAAGGGUGCGUAGGUGGUUUCUUAAGUCAGAGGUGAAAGGCUACGGCUCAACCGUAGUAAGCCUUUGAAACUGGGAAACUUGAGUGCAGGAGAGGAGAGUGGAAUUCCUAGUGUAGCGGUGAAAUGCGUAGAUAUUAGGAGGAACACCAGUUGCGAAGGCGGCUCUCUGGACUGUAACUGACACUGAGGCACGAAAGCGUGGGGAGCAAACAGGAUUAGAUACCCUGGUAGUCCCUGA